GGCUUAGUUGAGUUUAGUUGAGUUAUAAUUUAGAAUAAUAGGUUCCUGAGGAAUAGCCAUGCUGAUCUCUUUCACUAUUCAAGUUAGUAGGCAUUAUAGAAAAGAGUAAGGCUCUUCUAAUAGUAGCAUUAUGGAAAAGAGUGGAAAUGUCUAAACUGCUAGUCUUCUUGUUUGACAGUUAAGUUCCUCUCAUAGGUGGGCAUAUAGGUAAUUUGGUAUUAUAUAAAAGAGUGGAAUAUUUUUUUGAUCGAUGUACAUCCUCACAUGAAAAAGGUUUAUUCCCUUGGUCAUUUUGGGGGCAUAAUAUGGAUAAGAAAGGUCUUUGAAGACAUCAUUUACCUACAAUGCAAAAUUACUUAUUUGAGAUACUGAAUUGCAGUAAUUUUCUCCUGAUUCUACAGGUAUCAGCCAGGGCAGUCU
rnacentral:misc_RNA from 1 species